rnacentral:lncRNA from 1 species
CCUCGUGUGCCGGUCCUGCCUUUUGACACUGCUUGCACCUUGGUAGUCGAGCAGUCGCCAGGCUCGUGUAUCAUUGUGAUAUAGUAAAAGCCUAGGACUUCUGUUCUAACUGCCAGUAGGUAGUUGCUUGCAGUCGUUGUUGCGCAAUUGUGUUGUAUUUUGUAUACCCCAACUUCAUUGGGUAGUAGAAUGUAAUCCUGUGGAGUUUCGUUAAUGCAAAA